UAAUCGAUCUUCUGCUACCGUGUAUUGUAUACAAUAGUGGUUUUGAAAAUAAUACGAUUCGCGGGCUACAGAACGGAAGCGGAUGCGAUUGAAACGGCAAAUGGUGUAAUGUCGAAGUGAAAAUAUCGCGAGCCGGUCGCGUGACGGGCUAACGACGGAUAAUGCGUACACACCGCGGCGGGCCGGAGAAACGUUAACGUCGCCAAACCGAGAACGGAAAAAGUCAGACGGCGAUGUGUCGGAAUCGGAUAAAAUUAAUAGAAAACUUGAGCGCACGAAAAUACGUAUAUUAAAGUUUGUCGUCCGUGUAUAAUGUACGCAUUAUACGCCGUACGGGCCGGAUGAAAGAAAAACGCGUUUAUAGUGUGUGAUUCGCGGGGUGAGCAGGAGUCGCGAAUAUUACGCGGCCGUGACGGCGACUUAGACUUUUAUCCUUUUCCGAGGGAC